AUCCUGCGGGAGACUACUGCUAGAGGGUUCCGUGAGUCAUGCGAGUCUAAGCUUCGGCUUGGCGGAAGGCUUAGUAACACGUCGGUAAUCUGCCCUAUGGUGGGGGAUAACUUCGCGAAAGUGAAGAUAAUACCCCAUAGGUGAUAUAUAUUGAAAUAUGAUAUCACUUAAAGCUUCGGCGCCAUAGGAUGAGCCGGCGGCAGAUUAGCUUGUUGGUGGUGUAAAGGACCACCAAGGCGACGAUCUGUAGGGGGGGUGAGAGCCCAUACCCCAAGAAGGACACUGAGACAAGAGUCCUAGCCCUACGGGGCGCAGCAGACCCGGAUUCUCAACCAUGCGCGCAAGCGUGAUUGGAGGAGCCCUCGUGUUAGCACAUAGUGUUAACUUUUCUAAAGUGUAAAUAGUUUUGGGAAUAAGUGGUGGGCAAGACCGGUGCCAGCCGCCGCGGUAAUCCCGGCGCCACAAGUGGUAGUCAUUUUUAUUGGGCCUAAAGCGUUCGUAGCCGGCUAAUUAAGUUUUUAGUUAAAUCUAAUGGCUUAACCAUUAGUUCGCUGAGGAUACUAAUUAGCUUGAGACCGGGAGGAGUUAGAGGAAUGCCCUGGGGAGCGGUAAAAUGCUAUAAUCCAGGGUGGACCAUCAGUAGCGAAGGCGUCUAACUAGAACGGGUCUGACGGUGAGGAACGAAAGCUAGGGGAGCAAAACGGAUUAGAUACCCGUGUAGUCCUAGCCGUAAACGCUGCCUGUUAGGUAUUGCAUAUUCUUCGCGAAUAUGCAGUGCCGAAGGGAAACCAUUAAACAGGCCGCCUGGGGAGUACGGUCGCAAGGCUGAAACUUAAAGGAAUAGGCGGGGGAGCACUACAAGAGGUGCUUGCUGCGGUUUAAUUGGAUUUAACGCCCGAAAACUUACUAGCGGCGACAGCAGAAUGAAAGUCGGUCUGAAUGGCCCACUCGACGCGCUGAGAUGUGGUGCAUGGCCGCCAUCAGCUCGUGCCGUGAGGUGUUCGGUUAAGUCCGAGAACGAGCACGACCUACGUCUCUAGUUGCUAUCGAUCUUUUUAGAGAUCGAGCACACUGGAGAGACUGCCUAUGUAAGUAGGAGGAAGGUGUAGGCCAUGGUAGGUCAGUAUGCCCAGAAUCCGCUAGGCUACACGCGGCAGGCAAUGGUUAGCACAACGGGUUGCAACUCCGAAAGGAGAAGCUAAUCCCUUAAAGCUAAUCUUGUUUGAAUCGAGGAUUGUAACCCAUCCUCGUGAAAGCGAAAUCUCUAGUAAACGUGCGUAAGCAACGUGCGUUGAACAUGUCCCUGCUCCUUGCACUCACUGCCUGUCAACUCAUCCAAGUAGGGUUUGGAUGAGACUUCAUCAUUGGUGGAGUCGAAUCCGGGCUCUGUGAGGCGGAG
rnacentral:rRNA from 1 species